rnacentral:rRNA from 1 species
GUGGGGAAUAUUGGACAAUGGGCGAAAGCCUGAUCCAGCCAUGCCGCGUGUGUGAAGAAGGUCUUCGGAUUGUAAAGCACUUUAAGUUGGGAGGAAGGGCAGUAAGUUAAUACCUUGCUGUUUUGACGUUACCGACAGAAUAAGCACCGGCUAACUUCGUGCCAGCAGCCGCGGUAAUACGAAGGGUGCAAGCGUUAAUCGGAAUUACUGGGCGUAAAGCGCGCGUAGGUGGUUUUGUAAGUUGGAGGUGAAAUCCCCGGGCUCAACCUGGGAACUACCUCCAAAACUGCAUGACUAGAGUACGGUAGAGGGUAGUGGAAUUUCCUGUGUAGCGGUGAAAUGCGUAGAUAUAGGAAGGAACACCAGUGGCGAAGGCGACUACCUGGACUGAUACUGACACUGAGGUGCGAAAGCGUGGGGAGCAAACAGGAUUAGAUACCCGGGUAGUCC